ACAAUGGCCGGUACAGAGGGUCGCUACCUGGUGACAGGAUGCCAAUCUCAAAAUCCGGUCUUAGUUCGGAUUGGAGUCUGUAACCCGACUCCAUGAAGUUGGAUUCGCUAGUAAUCGCGCAUCAGCCAUGGCGCGGUGAAUACGUUCCCGGGCCUUGUACACACCGCCCGUCAAGCCAUGGAAGCCGGGGGUGCCUGAAGUCCGUAACCGUGAGGAUCGGCCUAGGGCAAAACUGGUAACUGGGGCUAAGUCGUAACAAGGUACC
rnacentral:rRNA from 1 species